CGCUGGCGGCACGCCUUAUACAUGCAAGUCGAACGAAGUAGCAAUACUUAGUGGCAGACGGGUGAGUAACAUGUGGGUAUCUUCCCUUUGGUGAGGAAUAACACGAGGAAACUUGUGCUAAUACCUCAUAAGUCUUUACGGAGAAAGCUUUAUGCGCCAAUGGAUGAGCCCGCACUUGAUUAGUUUGUUGGUGGGGUAAUGGCCUACCAAGACUUUGAUCAAUAGCUGAUCUGAGAGGAUGAUCAGCCACAUUGGGACUGAGACACGGCCCAAACUCCUACGGGAGGCAGCAGUAGGGAAUAUUGCACAAUGGAGGAAACUCUGAUGCAGCGAUGCCGCGUGAGUGAAGAAGGCCCUUGGGUUGUAAAGCUCUUUCGUCGGGGAAGAAAAUGACUGUACCCGAAUAAGAAGGUCCGGCUAACUUCGUGCCAGCAGCCGCGGUAAUACGAAGGGACCUAGCGUAGUUCGGAAUUACUGGGCUUAAAGAGUUCGUAGGUGGUUAAAAUAGUUGGUUGUGAAAUCCCGAAGCUUAACUUCGGAACUGCAAUCAAAACUUUUUAGCUAGAGUAUGAUAGAGGAAAGCAGAAUUUCUAGUGUAGAGGUGAAAUUCGUAGAUAUUAGAAAGAAUACCAAUUGCGAAGGCAGCUUUCUGGAUCAUAACUGACACUGAGGAACGAAAGCAUGGGUAGCGAAGAGGAUUAGAUACCCUCGUAGUCCAUGCCGUAAACGAUGUGUGUUAGACGUUGGAAAUUUAUUUUCAGUGUCGCAGCGAAAGCAGUAAACACACCGCCUGGGGAGUACGACCGC
rnacentral:rRNA from 1 species